UACGAAGGGGACUAGCGUUGUUCGGAUUUACUGGGCGUAAAGCGCGCGUAGGCGGAUCGCUAAGUCAGGGGUGAAAUCCCAGGGCUCAACCCUGGAACUGCCUUUGAUACUGACGGUCUGGAGAUCGGGAGAGGUUGGUGGAAUUCCGAGUGUAGAGGUGAAAUUCGUAGAUAUUCGGAGGAACACCAGAAGCGAAGGCGGCCAACUGGCCCGCAACUGACGCUGAGGCGCGAAAGCGUGGGUAGCAAACAGG
rnacentral:rRNA from 1 species